rnacentral:rRNA from 1 species
AGUCAUAUGCUUGUCUCAAGAUUAGCCAUGCAUGUCUCAGUACAAGCCUAAUUAAGGUGAAACCGCGAAAGGCUCAUUAAAUCAGUUAUGGUUCCUUAGAUCGUACCCACAUUUACUUGGAUAACUGUGGUAAUUCUAGAGCUAAUACAUGCAAACAGAGCUCCGACCGGAGACGGAAGGAGCGCUUUUAUUAGAUCAAAACCAAUCGGCGGCGGGCUUGCUCGCUGUCGUACACCUUGGUGAAUCUGAAUAACUUUCUGCUGAUCGCAUGGUCUCGCACCGGCGACGCAUCUUUCAAAUGUCUGCCUUAUCAACUGUCGAUGGUAGGUUCUGCGCCUACCAUGGUUGUAACGGGUAACGGGGAAUCAGGGUUCGAUUCCGGAGAGGGAGCCUGAGAAACGGCUACCACAUCCAAGGAAGGCAGCAGGCGCGCAAAUUACCCACUCCCGGCACGGGGAGGUAGUGACGAAAAAUAACGAUACGGGACUCAUCCGAGGCCCCGUAAUCGGAAUGAGUACACUCUAAACCCUUUAACGAGGAUCAAUUGGAGGGCAAGUCUGGUGCCAGCAGCCGCGGUAAUUCCAGCUCCAAUAGCGUAU